rnacentral:rRNA from 1 species
UACGUAGGGUGCGAGCGUUAAUCGGAAUUACUGGGCGUAAAGCGUGCGCAGGCGGUUCGUUGUGUCGGUGGUGAAAGCCCCGGGCUUAACCUGGGAAUGGCUAUGGAAACUGGCGAACUGGAGUGUGGCAGAGGGGGGUGGAAUUCCGCGUGUAGCAGUGAAAUGCGUAGAGAUGCGGAGGAACACCGAUGGCGAAGGCAGCCCCCUGGGCUAGCACUGACGCUCAGGCACGAAAGCGUGGGGAGCAAACAGG